GUGCUCGCUUCGGCAGCACACAUACUAAAAGUGGAACGAUACAGAGGACAUUAGCGUGGCCCCACGCAAGGGUGACACGCAAAUUCGUGAAGCGUUCCGUAUUUUU
ensembl:snRNA U6 U6 spliceosomal RNA